UAUUGUGCUGAAGGACAAGAGCGUCUCAUAGUAUACGAGUAUAUGCCAAAUUUGAGCUUGCUCUCUCAUCUUCAUGGGCAGAACUCAGCAGAAUGUCAUCUUGAUUGGAAGAGGCGGAUGAAUAUUGCCAUGGGUUCUGCAGAGGGGAUUGCCUACCUUCACCACCAUGCAACACCACAUAUCAUUCACAGAGACAUCAAAGCUAGCAAUGUCCUGCUGGAUUCUGACUUCCAGGCUCAGGUUGCUGAUUUUGGAUUUGCAAAACUAAUCCCUGAUGGGGCAACACAUGUAACCACAAGAGUUAAAGGUACACUUGGCUACCUGGCCCCUGAAUAUGCUAUGCUCGGGAAAGCAUCAGAGAGCUGUGAUGUAUAUAGCUUUGGCAUUCUCUUACUAGAGCUUGCCAGUGGCAAGAAACCCCUUGAGAAAACGAGUGAAGCAGUGAAACGAACAAUUACUGAUUGGGCUAUGCCAUUGGCAUGCGAAAGGAAGUUCAAUGAGCUGGCAGAUCCAAAGCUAUAUACAUCACAGCUCUCUGAUGCUUUCCCGAGCAUAGCUUGCUCUCAAGUGUGCUGACAAUCGGCCUGAGAAAAGACCCACAAUGCUCGAGGUUGUAGAACUACUGAAAGGGGAAUCAGAGGAGAAGUUGGCUGAAUUAGAAAAAGAUGAAUUGUUUAGGGUAUCCCAGCCUGCUGAUUAUAAUGAUGGAGUAUCAGUUGCUGAAGACAGCUCAGACUUCAUCUCAGAGGAGAAGGAUCCGAGACAAGAAGUGAAGGAAAUUGGACAAUAGAACACCCGUGAUAGCUUUGUUUUGCGUUUUUUUUUUUUUGUAAAAUUUGGUUUGGUGUACUGGUUUUUACUUGGAAAAUGAGGUGGCACUAGCAAUCCAUUUAUUAGAAUUGUCAGGAAAUGAAACAUGCUACAAGAAUCGUGCGUGUGGCUCAUUUUGUUGUCUUGUUCCUGUAGGUUUUCUUUCUCAUCGGGUUGUCACUUCUUCCGUUUCCAUGAAAUAUUUCUGUUUUUCAUGGAUACUUGUUCCUUUUAUUUAUCAUUGUGUAUUCUCAUUGUCUCUUAAUUGUUUUGGUUUGAGAAGUUUCAAUGACAACGCGAUGAGAAAGAAAACCUACAGGAACAAG
rnacentral:misc_RNA from 1 species